UUGUAACUAUUAAAGUAACAUAAUCAGACAAGAAUCCCAAUUAUUGGUUAACAAAAAGGGUUUAUGUAUCCUUUGGCAGAACGAGUCUACCAAAGCAACUAGAAUAAAUAACAAAGGGUGUGAAAUACAACGAGUUUCCUCGCUGAUCUCUAUAAUGAUCCUUCCGCAGGUUCACCUACGGAAA
rnacentral:misc_RNA from 1 species